GAUGACCCAAUCUUUGAACUUCCUUCUUGGUUUGACUCAACCACCGGCCGAUUCGACGACGAUCUUACAGAUGAGUUAAUUAAACCGGGGAUCUUACCGGUCAACUUCUUCUCAGGAAAAGAUGCCCCUACAUAUGAAUUCUACAACCCCUCUGUUGCAGCGCGGCAAUUUAGCAUGGGUCAACUGCCGAUUCAGGCAUACUUUGUCGGCUGAGCAAAGUUCAGAGACGAGCUCACCAAGGGCCUU
rnacentral:lncRNA from 1 species